CGGAAAGGCCCUGCUUGCAGGGUACUCGAGUGGCGAAUGGGUGAGUAACACGUGGGUGAUCUGCCCUGCACUUCGGGAUAAGCCUGGGAAACUGGGUCUAACACCGGAUAGGAGCCAUUUUUAGUGUGAUGGCUGGAAAGUUUUUUCGGUGUAGGAUGAGCUCGCGGCCUAUCAGCUUGUUGGUGGGGUAAUGGCCUACCAAGGCGGCGACGGGUAGCCGGCCUGAGAGGGUGGACGGCCACAUUGGGACUGAGAUACGGCCCAGACUCCUACGGGAGGCAGCAGUGGGGAAUAUUGCACAAUGGGCGCAAGCCUGAUGCAGCGACGCCGCGUGGGGGAUGACGGCCUUCGGGCUGUAAACUCCUUUCGCUAGGGACGAAGCUUUUUGUGACGGUACCUAGAUAAGAAGCACCGGCUAACUACGUGCCAGCAGCCGCGGUAAUACGUAGGGUGCGAGCGUUGUCCGGAAUUACUGGGCGUAAAGGGCUCGUAGGUGGUUUGUCGCGUCGUCUGUGAAUUCCGGGGCUUAACUCCGGGCGUGCAGGCGAUACGGGCAUAACUUGAGUACUGUAGGGGUAACUGGAAUUCCCGGUGUAGCGGUGAAAUGCGCAGAUAUCAGGAGGAACACCGAUGGCGAAGGCAGGUUACUGGGCAGUUACUGACGCUGAGGAGCGAAAGCAUGGGUAGCGAACAGGAUUA
rnacentral:rRNA from 1 species